UACGUAGGGUGCGAGCGUUGUCCGGAAUUAUUGGGCGUAAAGAGCUCGUAGGCGGCUUGUCGCGUCUGAUGUGAAAGCCCGGGGCUUAACUCCGGGUCUGCAUUCGAUACGGGCAGGCUAGAGUUCGGUAGGGGAGACUGGAAUUCCUGGUGUAGCGGUGAAAUGCGCAGAUAUCAGGAGGAACACCGGUGGCGAAGGCGGGUCUCUGGGCCGAUACUGACGCUGAGGAGCGAAAGCGUGGGGAGCGAACAGG
rnacentral:rRNA from 1 species